rnacentral:rRNA from 1 species
UACAGAGGGGGCAAGCGUUGUUCGGAAUUACUGGGCGUAAAGGGCGCGUAGGCGGCCUUCUAAGUCGAACGUGAAAUCCCGAGGCUCAACCUCGGGUCUGCAUCCGAUACUGCCCGGCUAGAGGUAGGUAGGGGAGAUCGGAAUUCCUGGUGUAGCGGUGAAAUGCGCAGAUAUCAGGAGGAACACCGGUGGCGAAGGCGGAUCUCUGGGCCUUACCUGACGCUCAGGCGCGAAAGCUAGGGGAGCGAACUGG